CAGGGAAUAUUAGAAAUGGACGAAAGUCUGAUCUAGCAACACCGCGUGUGCGAAGAAGGCCUUCGGGUCGUAAAGCACUUUUUGGAAGGAAUAGGAAGGAAUGUACUUCCAGAAUAAGUCUCGGCUAACUACGUGCCAGCAGCCGCGGUAACACGUAGGAGGCAAACGUUAUCCGGAUUUACUGGGCGUAAAGCGCGUGUAGGUGGUACUGUAAGUAGGGCGCGAAAGCUCCUGGCUCAACUGGGAGAGGCCGUUCUAAACUACAGAACUAGAGGAUGGUAGAGGGAGGUGGAAUUCCAGGUGUAGCGGUGGAAUGCGCAGAUAACUGGAGGAACACCGGUGGCGAAGGCGGCCUCCUGGACCAUUCCUGACACUCAGACGCGAAAGCUAGGGUAGCAAACGG
rnacentral:rRNA from 1 species